CAUAGGUUAAUGAGGCGAACCGGGGGAACUGAAACAUCUAAGUACCCCGAGGAAAAGAAAUCAACCGAGAUUCCCCCAGUAGCGGCGAGCGAACGGGGAGGAGCCCAGAGCCUGAAUCAGCAUGUGUGUUAGUGGAAGCGUCUGGAAAGGCGCGCGAUACAGGGUGACAGCCCCGUACACAAAAGCGCAUGUGCUGUGAGCUCGAUGAGUAGGGCGGGACACGUGGUAUCCUGUCUGAAUAUGGGGGGACCAUCCUCCAAGGCUAAAUACUCCUGACUGACCGAUAGUGAACCAGUACCGUGAGGGAAAGGCGAAAAGAACCCCGGCGAGGGGAGUGAAAAAGAACCUGAAACCGUGUACGUACAAGCAGUGGGAGCACCCUUUGGGGUGUGACUGCGUACCUUUUGUAUAAUGGGUCAGCGACUUAUAUUCUGUAGCAAGGUUAACCGUAUAGGGGAGCCGGAGGGAAACC
rnacentral:rRNA from 1 species